CCCGCUCAGAAACUCAAAGGAAUUGACGGGGGCCCGCACAAGCGGUGGAGUAUGUGGUUUAAUUCGAUGCAACGCGAAGAACCUUACCUGGUCUUGACAUCCCGGAGACCCUUAGGAAACUAGGGGGUGCUUCCAUCUGGAAGAAUCUGGAGACAGGUGCUGCAUGGCUGUCGUCAGCUCGUGUCGUGAGAUGUUGGGUUAAGUCCCGCAACGAGCGCAACCCUUGCCUUUAGUUGCCAGCAGUUCGGCUGGGCACUCUAAAGGGACUGCCGGUGUUAAACCGGAGGAAGGUGGGGAUGACGUCAAGUCCUCAUGGCCUUUAUGACCAGGGCUACACACGUGCUACAAUGGCCGGCACAGCGGGAAGCGAGGCAGUGAUGCCGAGCGGAUCCCUUAAAGCCGGUCUCAGUUCGGAUUGAAGUCUGCAACUCGACUUCAUGAAGCUGGAAUCGCUAGUAAUCGCAGAUCAGCCAAGCUGCGGUGAAUACGUUCCCGGGCCUU
rnacentral:rRNA from 1 species